UCCAGACUCCUACGGGAGGCAGCAGUGAGGAAUAUUGGUCAAUGGCCGAAGGGCUGAACCAGCCAAGCCGCGUGAAGGAAUAAGGCCCUACGGGUCGUAAACUUCUUUAGUCAGGGAACAAAGGGCGCCACGUGUGGCGUUUUGCGAGUACCUGAAGAAAAAGCAUCGGCUAACUCCGUGCCAGCAGCCGCGGUAAUACGGAGGAUGCGAGCGUUAUCCGGAUUUAUUGGGUUUAAAGGGUGCGCAGGCGGAAUGUCAAGUCAGCGGUAAAAUUUCGGGGCUCAACCCCGUCGUGCCGUUGAAACUGGCGUUCUUGAGUGAGCGAGAAGUAUGCGGAAUGCGCGGUGUAGCGGUGAAAUGCAUAGAUAUCGCGCAGAACUCCGAUUGCGAAGGCAGCAUGCCGGCUCCACACUGACGCUGAGGCACGAAAGCGUGGGUAUCGAACAGGAUUAGAUACCCUUGUACA
rnacentral:rRNA from 1 species